AAGAUUUUAAGUUAUAUAAACUAAUAGCCUUCAAAGCUAUAAAUGGAAAACUAUUUUCCAAGUCUUG
rnacentral:tRNA from 1 species